rnacentral:rRNA from 1 species
UUUUUAUAGAUAUAAUUAUAAAUAAAACCUGCUCAAUGUUUAUUUAAAUAGCUGCAGAAUUUUUACUGUACUAAGGUAGCAUAAUCAUUUGUCUUUUAAUUAAAGACUAGAAUGAAUGGUUAAACGAAUUAAAUAAAUAUUUAUAAAAUAAAUAAUAAAAUUUAUUUAAAAGUAAAAAAGCUUUUAUAAAAAAAAAAGACGAUAAGACCCUAUUGAACUUUACUAAAGUUUAGCUGGGGUAGCUAUUUAAUUAAAAAUUAAAAUUAAUUUUAAAAUAUUAAGAACCAUUAUAUUGAUUAUUAGAUCAAGUUACCAUAGGGAUAACAGCGUUAUAUAUUUCUAAAGCUCAUAUUCAAAAAUAUAACUUGCGACCUCGAUGUUGAAUAUCUUUUCUUAUUUAAAAUUUUAAUUAAUUUAGGAGCAAAAGCUAAAUAAGUUGGUCUGUUCGACCAUUAAAAAUUUACA